UUUUUAGUUACUCAAUUUUACUUUCAUUUUAUUCAUAGUUUAAUAUUUACUAAUUACUACUAUAUGGUUUGUUUCUCAGAAUUUGUUAGGGUUGUGUUGUCACUAAUAGUGUCAUUUGAUUUCAGGUUGAUAAAGCUUUUCUGAAGCAGCUCAAACUGUUCCAGAGGGAAUGGUAAGAGACUUGGAAAGGGAGGAUUUCAUACAUGAAAGCUUUGGAAAUGUUAUCCCCUCAAGUUUUGAUAUACAGCAUAUUACUGAGAGCCAGAACCAGGUUGUGAUUACCGAUGGGAUCUGGGCCACAACUCCUUUCUUCAACCAACCAACCGAGCUUCUUGAACCCCAAAGACGCUGAUGAAGUCCAAAAAGAGGAAGAGCCUCCAACUCAACUGCUAGACGGGGAAAAUUGUAAAGCUAGCAAGUACUGAAACAUUCCUAGCAUGACAUGAAAACACGAGACUGUUUUAUUCGAAACCUUCUGUUAGAAUCAUAAGUAUUCAGAUCUUUGGUUGAUGCCCUACUGACCCAGAAUGUUGAUGGGAAUUCACAUUUUUGACUGCCAGUAUCAUCUGUGGAGCAUAAUUGUUUGCUGUUGUAUCAGAUGAAUUCAAUUCACCAUGCCCUACCGAAGAGAUUUCUGCUUAAAGUGUUCAUUUGGUAGAAGCAAAACUAGCAUAUCUGAAUGGGAUUAGCAGAGUCUAAUUAAGCUUCA